AUUGAACGCUGGCGGCAUGCCUUACACAUGCAAGUCGAACGGCAGCACGGGGCGACCUGGUGGCGAGUGGCGAACGGGUGAGUAAUGCAUCGGAACGUACCUUUCAGUGGGGGAUAACGUAGCGAAAGUUACGCUAAUACCGCAUAUUCUGUGAGCAGGAAAGCAGGGGAUCGCAAGACCUUGCGCUGAUUGAGCGGCCGAUGUCAGAUUAGCUAGUUGGCGAGGUAAAGGCUCACCAAGGCGACGAUCUGUAGCGGGUCUGAGAGGAUGAUCCGCCACACUGGAACUGAGACACGGUCCAGACUCCUACGGGAGGCAGCAGGAGGGAAUUUUGGACAAUGGGGGCAACCCUGAUCCAGCCAUGCCGCGUGAGUGAAGAAGGCCUUCGGGAUGUAAAGCUCUUUCGGCCGGGAAGAAAUCGCACGGGCUAAUACCCUGUGUGGAUGACGGUACCGGAAUAAGAAGCACCGGCUAACUACGUGCCAGCCGCCGCGGUAAGAC
rnacentral:rRNA from 1 species